ACAUCUUGGACCCCUCCGGGUGAGAAAGGAGGGGAUCACCACAUCUGCUAAGGCAGGCAGGGCCUCACUGCAACACAGAAUGUUCCCAUGGGCCUCAAAUCAUGGUGUCAGCUGAAAUUUCACUGACCCAUGAGCUGUCUGCCUCCCUCCUCCAUUGAAAGAGCAGUGGCCCGCCCCACUUUUAAAAGCCCUGGGGCUCCUGCAAGCUGAUACCGCUUUCCAGGACAAGUGCAAACAGGGACAGAGGCGAUUCCCAGGUGGAGCCAAGGCGACCACGUGUGGCACUGGCGUAUACCAGAGCAGAUGGUAUGGAUGUGUGUCACUGAGGGCAUAUGGGGCAAUGGCAAAACAAGCAAUGGUGUCCAGGCAUGUGCCCGGCUGAAGGGGAGCACAAGUGACCUUUCCAUCAAUGCCAACCAAAAUCAAAGAACACCUCAGAUCUAAGACGCGGCCAAAAGAUUCAGGGAGUCCGUCCACCCAGGAGCAGAGGAGAGGAUGUCCCUCAAGAAUGAGACAGGAGAUGCAGAGGACAUGUUUCACCACGCCUGUCCUAGAAGACAAGGCCGGUCACGGUCGCUUACCGUUGCUUCUAGGCAAUCCACCUACACAUGAGGUGAAACAUGGAGACCAAGGUAGCUUCCCUGUCUGAGACACGCAUGGAAGCCAAGAGCUCCAGGGACAUCAAACCUGCCCAAUCAAGCAGAAACAGGUUUGGAGAGAGACACAAUCAUGACACGGAUCUCCAGGAAGUGUCUCCCUGACGGACAGGGAAAUGAUCUUUGUUGAAGACAUUCAGCCAGAGCAAGAGGCAUCUAGGCGGCUGAGAAACAGGGGAGACAGAGCAAGAGGGAAGGCAGGGCAGAGGCCAGAGCUCAGGCAGGAUACAGCACCGUGCCACCUCCACGAGCAUAAGAGGAGGGGGGCCAGAAGUGUGGCUUGUCCAGAGAGGCCAGCGUUCCAGUGACAGGGAUUGCCAACUCCCAUUUCCGGAUUCCUCUUCAAGACUCUAUCGUGAUGUGGCUUCAUUGCUCACAGAAGACCCGGGAAAAGAUACAACCUCAUUUCUGACGUGGGUCCACUCCUCUCCUGCAAAACAAUGAGCUCCUGUGGGGCUUUCGUCCUUGGCUGCAGUGUGGUCAUCUUGAUCCUAAAAAUGAGGCCGCUCAGGAUGAGGAUGAGAUUUCAAUUGCUCCGGGACCAACGCAUCUCCUCACGCGGUCGAAGCCUUCACACAGCCAAAGUGGUACCAGGGUGAAAACGAUUGACAGCCAGCCACAGGACCCAGGCAGAGACACAGAAAGAGGCUCACCAAAGAAAGGCUGACAUGCGAGAAAUCGCUUUUUGGCGCACAGGGCACAUUCGUCCAAAGACACACUCGCACACGGGCACACACACACAAAUGGACAGAGAGAGGGAAAGAAACACACAGAGAGUGAGAGACAGAGACAGAAGAGAGAAUGGGAGACACACACACACAC
rnacentral:lncRNA from 10 species